rnacentral:rRNA from 1 species
UACGUAGGGGGCAAGCGUUGUCCGGAAUCAUUGGGCGUAAAGAGCGUGUAGGCGGCCCGGUAAGUCCGCUGUGAAAGUCCAGGGCUCAACCCUGGGAUGCCGGUGGAUACUGUCGGGCUCGAGUCCGGAAGAGGAGUGUGGAAUUCCUGGUGUAGCGGUGAAAUGCGCAGAUAUCAGGAGGAACACCAAUGGCGAAGGCAGCACUCUGGGACGUGACUGACGCUGAGACGCGAAAGCGUGGGAGCGAACAGG